CGUGGCAAGCCCUGAACAGAGAACAUAGCCAGAAGCUGAAGCUAAGAUGCCCCUCCUCUCGGUUUCUCCUCUAACUGCCCUCCUCACGCUGCUCAUGGCAAUUUAACUGUUCCAAGAGACAAGAGAAGCAGCAAAAAAAAAUGCUUUUUCUACACCAGUGGCAUUUCAGAGCUACUUUAGGGAAAAUCCAUCUUCAGUGCUCUCCCAAAAGGACAGCACAGUGAUACAAUUCAUCUACAAACUUUAGUGUAAAAUAUUAUCUGUGUACAAAACUUUGCAUUCUCUUUAUUUGACUUAGAUCCAGCAGCAGUGUCUAUGAAUGAGUUAUGGAUCUCUCCACACUGGCUCUCAGCCCCUUCAUGGAUUUGCAUGUUGUUGCUGUUGUGAAGAUUUGGGAGGGAGGAGGCUUGCUCUUGGGGUCGUGCACAGCUGUGCAAAGCCACACGGCAGGUCUAGAAAGGAGCGUUGUCCUGUGGAGGCUUGUCUCCAGCUGAGGGGGACUGGAGGCCCUCAGUGCUGUUUUCCCUGCUGCCCACCACUCUGGACUUUAUGGUCCCAACUCUAUCUUCAAAUGACUUGAAGGUUGCAGAAUUCCUCAUGUCCCCAAGUUUCCUGCUGAUAACAGAACCUACAUUGGAAAGGGCUGCUGAAGUCUUCUGUCCUGCUUGGGAAAGGGUUUCUUGGGUCUUCUUAUAAAAGUCAGACUGUGUCACUUUGUCAUUCCACUCUCCAAGUUUCUCAGAUGUUCUCACAUAGGCGUUGGAGACUUGUACAUCAUGCCAGCUUUUAGACAGGUUUUGCUUCAACCCAUCCAAGGGAGUCAAACCUAGUUUCCUCUUCAGCUCUCCGCAGUGCCUCUCUUUAGCAGCCAGAACUUGUCUGAGAGUACCAAUUUCUUCUUCAACCUUGGCGAUCUCAGCCCUCAGCUCCUCCUCCUCAGCAGCACUCAGCCCCUCGGGCGUUGCUGUCCUCGCUGCGGCCGCGCUGUCCACGGGAACGUCCAUCAUGGCAUCCGAGAGCAGACCUUUGUUGGGAGAGUUAAGGCUGAUAUCCUGACUCGCGCUCUCCAUGGCGGCGCUCCGGACCCGUUCAGCCGCCGCC
rnacentral:lncRNA from 1 species